CACAAGACCCCAAUGCAUUCCUUGGGUGCACAUCUCGACGGCAGAAGUUUCUGAGAGGCGAUCCUUGCAAUCUAAACUUAAUGCUCGCCACCGAUUGAUGAAGUCCACUACUGGUUCAUCUUUCCUUUGCUUGGUGUUCGUCAACUCCAUCAUACUCACUGUACGACGAGUGCUGUAAAAACGGUUAAGGAAUUCACCUUCAAGUUGCUCCCAACUAUCGAUUGACUCAGGCUCUAAAUCUUUUUUUUUUCU
rnacentral:lncRNA from 1 species